CCACUUUAGCUUAAUUAGCAGUUCUCUUCUUUUUCCUCCUUUUCCCUUGACUUUUACUUGGUGCCUUCUGGUUUGCACUGGUCUGAGCUCUGUGAAUAAAGUAAUAUAACAGCUCACUGUACCCCCAUCUGUCCUGGAUUAGACCACUUGGACCAUUUUAUAGAACUACGGCCAGUUUUUAAAUGUAUAUUUGAAAGAGACCAGAAAUUUGUUACCUUAUUUUUUUUGGACUCUUCUCUGGCUCCAAAAUAAUCAUUUCUUCUUCUUCACUAUCUGAUAGCACUAUAGGGGCACCUUUAAGAAAAUUCCAAAAAAGGAGUUUACUACUUGACCACAUCAGAGGUCCUAAUGCUCCCAUUUCCAGGCUAACUAAAAGCUCAACUAUGCUGCCUGGAGGCUGAUACAUACUCUUUCCAAAUCUUACCCUAUUCUAAGUAGCUCCUCGCAGCUCUGAAAAUUUGUAAAAACUGAUGUUUUCUGUAAGCUUUUUCUUUUUUUCUUUCUCUCCCAGAGGACAUGUAAGCUAGGAUGUUCUUGCUACCAGAGCUGACCAUGAAAACUGUAGAAAACUGCUUUUUUGCCAUUUUUCUCUUGAACAGUAAUUAUAUAUGUGUGUAAAUAAAGCUUGCAAUUUAACCCUUUGCCCAUUUGGCUGGCUGUGUGUUUCACUGCUCGGGAUUCUUUUUUUUUUUUUGUUUUUGUUUUUUUUUGUUUUUGUUUUUUUUCGGAGCUGGGGACUGAACCCAGGGCCUUGCGCUUCCUAGGCAAGCGCUCUACCACUGAGCUAAAUCCCCAACCCCGCUCGGGAUUCUUAAAACCAGAAACAAAGGCCUCUGAAAAGAGGUAUACACAUGUGCAGAGUGAGAUGAUAAGAAAUAGCAUCACUAAUCCUAAUUAGGCUCUUUACCUUAAAAUACCCAGUUACCUAAUUCAUUUUUUUCUUUUUUUUUUUUUUUUUGGAGCUGGGGAUCGAACCCAGGGCCUUGUGCUUGCUAGGCAAGCACUCUACCGCUGAGCUAAAUCCCCAACCCCCCAGUUACCUAAUUAAACCAACACUGUUCCCCUGUCAAAACAAUACCACCAAAGGCUUACGUAACA
rnacentral:lncRNA from 1 species